CUGCUCGCUUUGGCAGCACAUGUACUAAAAUUGGAACCAUACAGAGAAGAUUAGCAUGGCCCCUGUGUAAAGACGACAGGCAGGUUGGUAAAGUGUUCCAUAUUUUU
ensembl:snRNA U6 U6 spliceosomal RNA